GUGGCAUAAACGUUCCUAAAUGAUCAAAUUGGACUCAAACCUUUUAAUUGUGCAUACGAAAACUAAACAGAGCUUUGGUUUGCUGCGAUUUGAGUCAAAAGUACAAACCAAAAAAAAAACCCUCCUGUAACUUUCUGGGUGCUUUUCAUUUGUGUCCCGUCUUGGAGAAGUUGGGAGAGAGGGAGGGGAGGAGGAGAAGGGAGGUGGAGUAAGGUCGGAGUUCCACGCAAGAGGACUAGCAAAGGAGCUGCUUCAUACUGUGCUGCUCUUGGCUCUUGCUGCCCUUGGCUGUCCGUACAUCUCUGUUUGUAUUCGCUGGGAGUCAGCGUGCACCUGUGUGUGUGUGUGUGUGUGUGUGUGUGUGUGUGUGUGUGUGUGUGUGUGUGUGUGUGUGUGUGUGUGUGUGUGUGUCUUGUAAUCCAACUGGUUGUUUACCCAUGCUGUCAUGUUAGCAGCUCACGCAGCAAUCUGCAGGGGAGAGGCAGAACUGGACUUGACAGACUGAGCAAAACAAAACCUCUGAACAAAGGAAUGUAUUUGGGAAGUUUGUGCCUCCAUCUUGAGUUGAAAGACAUCAGAGGGGACUAACUUUCCUCGCAGCAGUGCCGGUCUGACAACAAGAUGACUUGUAUAGUGAAUGAUGGCUGUCUGAACCUCUGUAGUGGAUCAACAGCAGCCGUUCAUACUGGCUUGUUGAUUUUCGCUGAAGCGCUGGCCUGCGGUGGAUCUCAAAGCCCGACGGAGUCCAUUUGACACCAGAGGAUGUUUGAGCGUCAGUGUCCAGCCUGUGCCCUGUUGAGAAGCCUUUCGUUCCAUCUUGUCGGGCCACGUCGUCUUCCUCCCUCUGCUAGGAUUGACCGAUGGAGAGACACGCAGAGAUGACUGCGGCAGCCAUCGAGACAGCAGUCAGCCGGCCUCUUUUCAGUUCACUGUGAGGAUGGUGGCCAUAAGGAACUUUGAUCCAGAAUGACCUCAGCAACAGCACUGAGAGCGCGGCCAGUCGCUGAAUCCUCAGAGGUGGUCAGCGGCUGAUCUGCUUUGAAUGCCAACGCAAAGGUAACAUGACUAAAGUGUCUGAAGACGAGGAGGGAUUCCACACUCAGGGGCCCGGUUAAGCUUUGCUCUCAGUACAAAUCCUCUCAAUGUGUUUGAUGUCCUACGGCAACUCCCAAAAUGAUUGCAUAGUUGCGCUUUUGUAAAAAUGAUCCCAAACGUUAUUUCAAGCUUCCUGCUUCUAACUUCAAACUUCACGCACGUUCUUUUGGUAAGAUGGGAUAUGCACCAAUGUCCAUGUUUGUGUUAUCUUGGAUAUUACAUUGCCAGCGAGUUACUUAUUGCUUAUUGCAUACAAAGUAGACUCGAACUGAAUUGUUUUCAUCAUGGGCAGCACGUUUGCCUCACAGUUGGGAUUCAAAUGUCAGCUCUGACCUUUCCUGUGUUGAAGUUUGCAUGUUCUCCUCAUGCUUGGUUUACAUAUUUUAGGACGUAUAUUCCGGAUUAGCCAUUAGACCGACUGGAAGUGGAAAUGAAUGAAAGAAAAUCCACGCUUGGUGCCACCUCCUUCGCUCAAACAUCUCCUUGAAGAUUCCCAAUAAGAUUUUGGAGCAUGUCUCUGGCAAUAUUUUGUCCACAGUGUU